rnacentral:rRNA from 1 species
AGUGAACGCUGGCGGUAGGCCUAACACAUGCAAGUCGAACGGCAGCACAGUAAGAGCUUGCUCUUACGGGUGGCGAGUGGCGGACGGGUGAGGAAUACAUCGGAAUCUACUUUUUCGUGGGGGAUAACGUAGGGAAACUUACGCUAAUACCUCAUACGACCUACGGGUGAAAGCAGGGGAUCUUCGGACCUUGCGCGAUUGAAUGAGCCGAUGUCGGAUUAGCUAGUUGGCGGGGUAAAGUCCCACCAAGGCGACGAUCCGUAGCUGGUCUGAGAGGAUGAUCAGCCACACUGGAACUGGGAAACGGUCCAGACGCCUACGGGAGGCAGCAGUGGGAAAUAUUGGACAAUGGGCGCAGGCCUAAUCCAGCCAUACCGCGUGGUGAAGAAGGCCUUCGGGUUGUAAAGCCCUUUUGUUGGGAAAGAAAAGCAGCAGGUUAAUACCCCGCUGUUCUGACGGUACCCAAAGAAUAAGCACCGGCUAACUUCGUG